rnacentral:lncRNA from 1 species
AGGUUCAGGUUCAAUCCCAAGGAUGAACAGUUUCUGAUCUAUGAUCCAUGGAGCAUGUGAAAGAUUAGAUUUAAGUACUAAUUAAUUUUAGAUUAGAUCUAAAUUAAUUAGACUUAAUUGGAUCCAAAAUUUAAGUUAGACUUGGUAUAAAAGUCUUAAAGAGUUUGAGAUUGACAGUCUUUCAAAAUUAUUUCGAACCAACUUCGAAUUGGAUUCGAAUCGGAUCCGUUUUGGAUGAGAUAUGAGAAAUCCUUCUUGCAUCGAGAUUCUACUCUCUUGUGGGCUGAUCAACACCUGAAAGUUUUCUCAUUGUGGGUGUCCCAUUUGGGU